rnacentral:rRNA from 1 species
GAUGAACGCUGGCGGCGUGCUUAACACAUGCGAGUCGAACGAUGAAGCCCAGCUUGCUGGGUGGAUUAGUGGCGAACGGGUGAGUAACACGUGAGCAACCUGCCCCUGACUCUGGGAUAAGCGCUGGAAACGGCGUCUAAUACUGGAUAUGUCCCGUCACCGCAUGGUGUGCGGGUGGAAAGAUUUUUCGGUUGGGGAUGGGCUCGCGGCCUAUCAGCUUGUUGGUGAGGUAAUGGCUCACCAAGGCGUCGACGGGUAGCCGGCCUGAGAGGGUGACCGGCCACACUGGGACUGAGACACGGCCCAGACUCCUACGGGAGGCAGCAGUGGGGAAUAUUGCACAAUGGGCGGAAGCCUGAUGCAGCAACGCCGCGUGAGGGAUGACGGCCUUCGGGUUGUAAACCUCUUUUAGCAGGGAAGAAGCGAAAGUGACGGUACCUGCAGAAAAAGCACCGGCUAACUACGUG